AGGAACCGAAAAAUGCAUCCUUGGGGAUUUACUUGAAAUCAUAUCGUUAACACAGCACUUUUCCAAUUUCAAAGUGAAAGGGAGCUUGCCACAAAGUUGAUGAUGAACACAAAAUGGUUAAAAAUACAAGUUUAGAGCUGCAGCAGCUUCUCCUAGCUCUGCAUCCCAGUUAUGUAAAGGUUUAGAGCUGCAACAGCUUCUCCUACCUAAUAUUUGUGAAUGGAAACUUCAUAUGGAGUAUCUGUUAACUCGAAAGUCAAAAGUCAGAACUUUUGCAGUUUCUCUUGCCUCCUGAUUGUCAGUUUCCAAGUUAUGACAGAGCAGAAUGACGAAGUAAGAACCGAAUGAGUGCACCAUGUUGUUCAGCGACUGUAUAAUAGAUAGGUUAUGUUGAAGGAAC